UUAGUGCUCCAAUAGUCCUAAUUGAUAAACCAUGUCCUUCACAUGAAGGAUCACUCAAGAUUUCUUUUCUUAUUUUGUGAGAUCUGUUAUUACCUAUGGAAAAAGGUGGUUUGGCCAGAAAAUUGAACUCAAUUUGCACGAAUACUUAUUUGUAGUCUCAUGUCCAAUGCCCUGCUAUGCAAGGGAUCUGCUAGGGACUUUAGUUCAGGAAGGUGUCACCUUAAUGGCUAAUUUGCAUGUUGUAAUAGACACAAGGAGGUUUCUUGCGAGUUUGAUCUUCAGGUGGGCUUGAACAUAAUCAUUUAGAGGUCUAAGAAUUUACACCGCUUUCUGUUAAUAGAUGUCAGCUAAUGGUAUGGCUCUCUCCACAUAUUUUAUUGCCCCUGUCAGAUUGAAGUAGUUCUGAAGCCUGCAAUGAGCUAGGUCCUCCCAUCUUCAAUUUCUUUGCUCCCGCUCCUGGUUUUCUUCCAUAUUGUUUCCCUUUUAUUUCAUUUAUUUGAGGCUUGCUUGCUUCCUUAUCAGCACAGCUACGCCUUUGCCUUUCUCAUGAUGUGGCGUGCUCACAGUUCUUCCUUAUCAUUCAUGAGCUGGUUACGCCCAAUACUAUUCUACCAUAAGUCCAGAUUUGUGCCGAUUUUGAUUCAACAAAGAUUACAUAUAUCCUUACCUGCACCCAUGUCUCCUCGUCCUCUCCUCUUCCAACCUCUCCUCGGGGGCGAUGAGAGGUCCUGGAGGUGGUGAUGCGGAAGAGCAUCGGAAUCUUGGAGGAGAUGCAGCCCAGGUGAAUGGUGUUGGUUGUCUGCUCCCAUUACGCCUCCCUUCCUCAACUACAGACAUGCUGGUAUUCCUCUCCUCUCUCCUGGUCCCUGCUUUGGCUUGUAUUUUUGCUAUGGAUAUUGUGGUGUAGCGAGAAUGGGAGGAGAGUGGGAUUGGAACGCUGACUUCAUCUACUUGGUAAGCAUUUGAUAUUUCUCUGGAUCAUUUUCUGUCCAUAUACAAAUAUAGAAAAUUUAUGUAUGCCUAUAUCCAACUAUUUAGUACUUAAGUUGGUGGUCCUCAAGAGGAUCUUAAAGAAAACUUGUUUGUGGAUUCCGAUACCAUGUUUUACUCGUUUUAAUCUUACCAUUUGAGGUGACGACGGCGGCUGCAUA